rnacentral:hammerhead_ribozyme from 1 species
AUCUAGCUGACAUGUCCCGAAUAGGACAAAACGCGCGUUCUGGAU